rnacentral:rRNA from 1 species
UACAGAGGGGGCAAGCGUUGUUCGGAAUUAUUGGGCGUAAAGAGCUCGUAGGCGGUUUGUCGCGUCUGCCGUGAAAGUCCGGGCUCAACUCCGGAUCUGCGGUGGGUACGGGCAGACUAGAGUGAUGUAGGGGAGACUGGAAUUCCUGGUGUAGCGGUGAAAUGCGUAGAGAUCAUGAGGAAGACCAGUGGCGAAGGCGGGUCUCUGGACAGUUCCUGACACUGAGGCACGAAGGCCAGGGGAGCAAACGGG